AACGAACGCUGGCGGCGUGCCUAACACAUGCAAGUCGAACGGAGAUAAGAAGCUUGCUUCUUAUUUUAGUGGCGCACGGGUGAGUAACGCGUGGAUAAUCUACCUGACGCUCUGGGAUAACAUCUCGAAAGGGGUGCUAAUACCGGAUAAGCCCACGAGACCUUCGGGUCAUGCGGGAAAAGGAGGGGACCUUCGGGCCUUCCGACAUCAGAUGAGUCCGCGUCCCAUUAGCUAGUUGGCGGGGUAAUGGCCCACCAAGGCUACGAUGGGUAGCUGGUCUGAGAGGAUGAUCAGCCACACUGGAACUGAGACACGGUCCAGACUCCUACGGGAGGCAGCAGUGGGGAAUUUUGCGCAAUGGGGGAAACCCUGACGCAGCAACGCCGCGUGAGUGAUGAAGGCCUUCGGGUCGUAAAGCUCUGUUUGUAUAGGAAGAAAAAGAGACACCUAACACGUGUUUUGUUGACGGUACUGUAUAAGAAAGGACCGGCUAACUUCGUGCCAGCAGCCGCGGUAA
rnacentral:rRNA from 1 species